UUUUUGACCCUUUGCCACACAACGCGUGGCUUCGUCCAUCCUCCCCCCUCUCUCCAGUUCGAUUUCACGAUCGCGUAUUAGGUUUCGCGUUCUCUCUCUCUCUCCCUCUCUCUAUCCUGCUAUGGCCGUCCGGUUCAAAUUCAGAAGCUCCAUGAACUUUGACUCGGUCGACAUCGAUGGUCGACCCUCCAUUUCGGUGCGAGAUCUCAGGUCCAAAAUCAUCCGCCACAAGAACCUCAACAUCUGCCAAGACUUCGAUCUUGUCUUCUCUGAUGCCCUAACCGGUCGAGAGUAUUGUGACGAAAAUAUUCAAAUUCCGAGUGGUUCGAGCAUAAUCAUCAAGAGGGUACCUGCGGGAUCAACGCCAUUGCCUAAGGUUUGCAUUGAUUCAGUUGAGAAUUUUGGGCUCAAAGACACUGAUCUUGCCAAAACUAUUGCAUCUCUUCCCGCGAACACGGAAGUGGACAAUUUUGAUGACUUUGGGGUUGACUUGUGCCCUGUUCCUGAGGUGACCUUUUCUGAUUCCGAUGUUGGAAUUGAUGCAAGGAAUGGCAUCAACAGUGAGACCACCAAUAGUGUUGUUCCUAGGUGCUCUGAGCCACCCAUCAUGAGAUGCCAAAAGCUUGAAGCUAGUGACCUUAGUGAAGCAAGUCCAGUAGGUCCAACUCGUACUAAAAUUGAAGGGAAAGCAUUGCAGACAAAACUAAAAUCUGAAGUUGAAGAGAACUUAAAAUUGGAAAAAGUGGUUACUGGCAAUCCUCCUGCAAUGCAAAAUAUCGACUUGCCAUUGGAGCUAAAAUGUUCUUUGUGCAACUCCUUCUAUAAGGAAGCUGUGAUGAUACCAUGCUGCCAACAUAGUUUCUGUGAAAAAUGUAUUCAUCAGGUGCUGCUUGGGAAGGCAAGGUGUCCAAAGUGUUUGUCCACCAAAUGUAGGGUGGAAGAUUUGUUGCCAAAUUUAUCUCUUAGACAAGCCAUUGAGCACUUCCUUGAGUCUCAACUUCUAACCAGUGUUCCUGAAAAUGCCUUACAAAGAUAUGCCCCAGAUGGAGAAUCUGGAAUCCAAAUGAAAGAUGUUUCUUGUGCUGUGAGCAUCCAUCGAAGGGAGCCAGACUUGCCCCACUCUCCCUCUGUAACAGGGAAGGGGUCCAAUCAAAUUAAUGCUGAAUCUGCUUAUGAGUCAAAGAUCAGAAACAAUGCAUCCAUUGGCGGUACUGGUCCUCGCAUUGUUCCUUUUGGCGAGGGAAGAUCUUUUAAAGCAGUGUCUUCAUCUCUUAAGUCACAACAAAUAAAAGCAGUAAGAAAUGGAUCAUCUCAUCCUGUGGAUGUCAAAAGUGGAACUCAAGACCUAGCUGCUGUUACUGACUUUCAAGGGGAAAACCAACCUCAUAAUUUGCCUAUGCAUGAUGAAGCUGAUUCAAGUACGAAGAAAAAGAAGGGAUUGUGGAUUAAUGCUUCAGGUGUUGACAGGAGCUUUGGGGCUAAUGAUAGACAUAAAAAGGGUGAUCGCACUUGUUAUAUGUGUGGUUCCCCAGACCAUCUCGUAAGAGACUGCCCAGCUGCUUCAAAUCCAUAUCCUAGACUUCAGACAGGAGAUGCUGCAUUCCAAGGAGCUCUGCCAGGUUAUAUGUCAUCUUACUGGAAUGGAAUUCCAUUGUCCCAUGUCAGGCCUUUUCAACAUAUAUAUGGCAACCCUGGGAUGAUUCCUUUCAAUGCUACCAUGGUCCCAAUCACCCCAGUUGCAGUUCCUUCAUAUAUACCAUCUAUAUAUGGUGGCUUACCUGUCCCUGGUGGAUUUAUGAGGAUUGGGAGCCUAGUACCUCCAGCAGGAACCACUGCUGAACGCCCUCUAAGUCGUUUAGAGUUUUCAGAGCUGCAGGAUUGUGAUAAGGGAAGAAACCUUUCAAAUGAGAAUCUGCGGAGAGAACAUUCCAGUGCUGAUAAAGAUUGUUUCAAUAAACGGUAUGAGCCAGAAAGAUCACAUGCCCAUAAGUUUCAUGUGGACAAGGUUGCAAACUACUCUGAAGAUAGCUUUGAUCGAGAAUCGCAUAGGGAACAAUGGCAUGAUCAUUCAGAUGAUGACGCCCACUCUGUCGAGGAAAGACACAAGAAAACUUAUCAUUCCUCAAUUGCUGCAAGAGGACGGAGGCCAUAUCUUCUGGAUAAAUCAAGUUCAGAAGUAGAAGAUAUGCCCAACAGCUCUAGUUGGUGCAGUGAAGAUAGGCACAGACAUCACUCUAAAAGCUCCAAAAACCACAAAGAAAGAAAGGGACAGUGUUGCAAUGAUUCUAGUCAGAGUCGUAAUCAAAUCAAAAUAGAGAAAGAUGUCAAAAGGAAGAGGGAAGGGUCCAGUGCCAAAAGACAUCAUCAGAAACAUCACAGCCACUCAGAAUCUGGUUUGGAACCUAGUUUCUCCAGUGAGCUGAUAAAACAGAAGAAAGAGAGGGAUUGCUAUCAUGAUUCCAGAUACUCUAGGCACAAUGCAGAUUCCAUGAAUGUUGAGCUGAGUCGUGACAGGUGGCAAAUGGUCAGUGGUUCAGAUGAGUACUGCAGAGAGGACUGUCAUUGUCAGAAACGGAAAAGGGUCCACUAAUACAUGCAACAGACUUGUCUUCUGAGAUCUAGUAGGGGGACGCUUUUGGACAAUAACAUCGUGAUUAUCCUUUGUUAUUUUCUGCUAACUAACACUUUUUUAGCCUGAAGUAUGGAAGAUAGCAAACAAAAGUUUUAGCCAGAGGAGCAAUGGUAAAUUAAGUAUAGGGUUUGGAUCCUUUUAUGCGGUGGCCAAACAUCUUUUGCUGAGAUUGUUGAAGCUGUUAAAGCAAUUGUGUGCCAAGAAGCAGCUGAGUGUCAAAGAGAAAGGCUUUUGCAUGAAGAUUUGAAGUAGCUAAGGUUGAAGAGUGUCGAAAACUGAAAUUAGGUCUUCAAUGUGGGAAAGAGAUUGCUUGAGGAGUCAAGGGCAAAUAUCUGGAGAAGAUUUGAGGUUGGUCAACGAUUGCAGUAGGUCGAGAGAGAGAGAGAGAGAGAGAGUCUUCUCGGGGAACAUCAAUCGAUGGAAAAAGAGUAAUCAUUGAUGUUGAGAAAACUUUUGUUGCUUCGUAAUUGCACAAAUAAUAGGGUUCGAAAUGCGUAUGCCUUGUCUUUUGAGGCAUGAAA